UACGUAGGGUGCAGGCGUUAAUCGGAAUUACUGGGCGUAAAGCGUGCGCAGGCGGUCUAUUAAGACAGGUGUGAAAUCCCCGGGCUCAACCUGGGAAUGGCAAUGGAGACUGCAAGGCUAGAGUUUGGCAGAGGGGGGUAGAAUUCCACGUGUAGCAGUGAAAUGCGUAGAUAUGUGGAGGAACACCCGUGGCGAAGGCGGCUCUCUGGGACGGUACUGACGCUGAGACGCGAAAGCGUGGGGAGCGAACAGG
rnacentral:rRNA from 1 species